AGUGAAGUUUUUGGAAUUUUUCAUAAAUCGCUUGAUCAACGAUUUAUGAAAAAUUCUUCCGCUACGGUAGAGUUAUGUUACGUUUAAUUUGUUUUGCUUAGAUAGUAUGCUUUGAAAGCCUAAUUAGUUGUUAAGCAAACGAUGAAAAACACAACAUUUAAAUUGCAUUGCUCCGUCAAACUCGGUUCGAGAAACCCCGCAAAGCCUUGCUAUGCCACCACAUUCAGCCGACGUACAUUGCAAUCAUUCAAUGACGAUCAUCAACCGGCCAGCAGAGUCAGUGAACACGAUCACGCUGGGAGAAACUGGGGAGAUAAUCGGUAUCAGUACACAUACUCGAACAGCCAUCAUCCCAACCAGAGGCAGCUACCACACUAGGAGAUCAUACCGUGGACAAGUGAGAAGCGUCGCCACCACCACAUGAGAGCACGAGAGAAAGAAUGGAGCGAAAGAUCCGUCGGCAUCAUCAUGCUGGAGAAGUUAAGUUCAACACGGCACGCACACCAUUAAAGCUCGCCGGCAGAACAAGUGAACGAUCGCAAAGGAGUGGAGUUUAAUUGUCUUCCAUCUGUAAGCCAAACCGCGUGUGCCGUUCAGUCGGCGGUGAGAAUUUCCAUUUCGGAAUUGAACAAAGUGCGUUCGUUAGAAAACCCCUCGAAGACGGCCCACUGGAUUAGCUGAUCUUAUUCUCGACCGGUGAGCAGGUGUAACACCCGGAAACCAGCGCAAGAAAUCGAUUGGCCAGAGGGAAGAACAACAGGCCAAAAGAAGCUAAAUCCGCGUGUGCUUUCCAAGAAGGAGGGAUUCGUCGAAAAACCAGACCGUCUGGAUUGUCGGCCGCCAUUGCCGAAAAUCAUUCCCGAUUGGAAAUAGAUGACUGUCCACGCACGGACUCUGGAUUAAACACGCUAGGUGGAGACAAUCGUGUGAAGAGCAGGAGAAAGUCGAGAAUCAUCACCGGCCAAGCCGAAAGCCAACUCGAUCGCCAGAACCAUCCCGACAGAAGCGACUUAGACCGGAUCACGUCGCAGAGCAGAGAGCCCCUCUAGAAGGGGCUCUUUUCUUUCUUGCAGUUUUGCGCACUCAACGUGCCUAGAGGACGAGACAGGUCGCAGGGUCGCGGCGUCGUAAAUCGAACAUUCCGUUCGCAAUAUCACCCACCCCACACACGAAGAGCAGUCGCGCCAAGCAAGGCGCGCAGCAAAGAGGAUUUCCGUAGCUGAGUUGCCACGACAUUCAGGCGAGACGCGUAAUACGGAGGUUUGCUGUACCGGAGGAGUUUUGAUCGGGGGUGUGCCUAUCGAAAGGUGGUGGAUAUGUUGGCUAGGAAGGUGGCAGCUGUGCAGCAUCAACAGGACCGGUGCAAGGCUUCCCUGGAAGACUAUCCGGUGGCGUGAGAGCAUGCAGAAUCAGUGAGUCCUAGAGUUUAAGAGCAAUGCAUAUUAGCUUUUAAGAAUCCUAGUGCAGGAUAGCGUAGGAGGUCUCAGGACCGAGAAUAGGAGGCCAGGACAGGCAAAAUGUUGAAUAUACGCAUUUAAAAUGAA